rnacentral:rRNA from 1 species
AUUGAACGCUGGCGGCAGGCCUAACACAUGCAAGUCGAGCGAGCGGCGGACGGGUGAGUAAUGUCUGGGAAACUGCCUGAUGGAGGGGGAUAACUACUGGAAACGGUAGCUAAUACCGCAUACCAUCGGAUGUGCCCAGAUGGGAUUAGCUUGUAGGGGAGGUAACGGCUCACCUAGGCGACGAUGCCUAGCUGGUCUGAGAGGAUGACCAGCCACACUGGAACUGGGACACGGUCCAGACUCCUACGGGAGGCAGCAGUGGGGAAUAUUGCACAAGGGGCGCAAGCCUGAUGCAGCCAUGCCGCGUGUAGGAAGAAGGCCUUCGGGUUGUAAAGUACUUUCAGCGGGGAGGCGUUACCCGAAGAAGAAGCACCGGCUAACUCCGUGCCAGCAGCCGCGGUAAUAC